rnacentral:misc_RNA from 1 species
UAUUUUAUGAGUUACAGCCAUUUUUAUAACGUGGUCUAUCUAUCUGCUCCGAUCCGACCGGAAUAAAUGAACAAUAGACAGUACACGCUACCCGAGUACCUACGUAUAAAUACCCUCAUAAAAUAUUUAUUGUAUUUUAUCCCUUUUUAAUGUAUUUUUAAUUCAAUAAUUCAAUUGGAACGAUGUUUGGGUUCUGAAACCCAAAAUAAUAACGAAUCGUUAAAUUCGUUGAUAUGGACUUUUUUAUGGAGGCACAUCCACGCAGGAACGCAGACAAUUCAAAUUUUCACUUUCCCCGCUAAACUCAUGCGUUCGCAGUCUGGCAAGACGAAGUUCGUACCGAGCGCACUGAACUCCGAGCUUCAGAGGCAUCAAAGGAAGCCAGGACUGCUCGUCUCCAUGAAACAACUUCGGAGAAUGAGCAUUUUCAAAUAGAGGAAGGUUUCCUGUAGGGAGCAGGAAUCGCCGAUUAAAAAUAUCAGGUAACGUUAUUGGAUACUAUAAAACAAUUGAAAAAAAAGAAGAUUCUAAUUUCAAGAAUACGGAGAUCCAAGCAACAGAUAAAGGAGAGGUCAUUCAAAACACCAUUAAAAGACCGACAGGCCCAGUCACAUUUAUACCAUGGUGCCAACUUCAAGGGGACGCGUAACGAGCGUGCGUAGUAAGGAUAUUGAUGGAUGACAAAAAGAACCGAAUCGGAUCAAGAAAACUGUUAAGCUGUAACCGAGGGGAGAGAAUCGUCAGUUGGAAUCGAGAGUUGUACGUAAAGAGUAGAAAGCGG